rnacentral:rRNA from 1 species
CCUACGGGAUGCAGCAGUGGGGAAUAUUGCACAAUGGGGGAAACCCUGAUGCAGCGACGCCGCGUGAAGGAAGAAGUAUUUCGGUAUGUAAACUUCUAUCAGCAGGGAAGAAAAUGACGGUACCUGACUAAGAAGCCCCGGCUAACUACGUGCCAGCAGCCGCGGUACUACGUAGGGGGCAAGCGUUAUCCGGAUUUACUGGGUGUAAAGGGAGCGUAAGCGGUUCAGCAAGUCAGAAGUGAAAGCCUGGGGCUCAACUCCGGGACUGCUUUUGAAACUGUUGAACUAGAUUGCAGGAGAGGUAAGUGGAAUUCCUAGUGUAGCGGUGAAAUGCGUAGAUAUUAGGAGGAACACCAGUGGCGAAGGCGGCUUACUGGACUGUAAAUGACGCUGAGGCUCGAAAGCGUGGGGAGCAAACAGGAUUAGAUACCCCUGUAGUC